rnacentral:rRNA from 1 species
GGAAGAGAGCGGCGGACGGGUGAGUAACGCGUGGGUAACCUGCCCUGUACACACGGAUAACAUACCGAAAGGUAUGCUAAUACGAGAUAAUAUGCUUUUAUCGCAUGGUAGAAGUAUCAAAGCUCCGGCGGUACAGGAUGGACCCGCGUCUGAUUAGCUAGUUGGUAAGGUAACGGCUUACCAAGGCGACGAUCAGUAGCCGACCUGAGAGGGUGAUCGGCCACAUUGGAACUGAGACACGGUCCAAACUCCUACGGGAGGCAGCAGUGGGGAAUAUUGCACAAUGGGCGAAAGCCUGAUGCAGCAACGCCGCGUGAGCGAUGAAGGCCUUCGGGUCGUAAAGCUCUGUCCUCAAGGAAGAUAAUGACGGUACUUGAGGGGGAAGCCCCGGCUAACUACGUGCCAGCAGCCGCGGUAAUACGUAGGGGGCUAGCGUUAUCCGGAAUUACUGGGCGUAAAGGGUGCGUAGGUGGUUUCUUAAGUCAGAGGUGAAAGGCUACGGCUCAACCGUAGUAAGCCUUUGAAACUGGGAAACUUGAGUGCAGGAGAGGAGAGUGGAAUUCCUAGUGUAGCGGUGAAAUGCGUAGAUAUU